AUCAAGAAGUGGUAAUAGAAACGGUGGCUAGAAAAGGCCUCACACGCCAGCGUGUGUCCUAAUAAUGACGAGACAAGAGCGGCAUGUGGCGGCCAUUCACUAGUCCUCCAGUGGCUGGAUUCCAGCCAAAGGAACAUUGACGGCUAGCGGUCCUCCUGGAGUGGGCUAUGAGAAUAGAAUAUCACCCUAUGUGGGUGACCUAGAGUAUGCGUGAGAUUACUGAAACCUUAGUUGAAAAACAGAGCAGGAAUCUUUUAAUUCAGAUGCUCUAAUACCAUAUUCUAAAGGUAUUUUCUCUUUUUCAUUCAUAA
rnacentral:misc_RNA from 1 species